UUCUCAUAAUUCACUGAAAGUCAACACGGACUCUGAUAAAGUGUGAUACCAUGAAUUUUAUUUUUUCGGUUUUCAUCUCAAUCGGUUUGGGUAUUUUAAUUUAUUUGUCCUUCCAAACAAAGUGCAGCAGCAACGAUGAUUGUCCUGGACAGCAAAUCUGUCUUGGUGAUAAGUGCCUCUAAUAAUAUUUAUUAGUAGAUGUGUCCGUGUGUUUAACCCAUGCACUGAAUUUGUAUUUGUACAUUAUCAGUGUUAGGGUACUCAGAUAAUUAAACAAUGUCAUUCAAUCCAAAAUGAAUAAAGAAGAUCAAUUAUAAAAAUGGAA